rnacentral:rRNA from 1 species
GAUGAACGCUGGCGGCGUGCCUAAUACAUGCAAGUCGAGCGAACAGGUGAGGAGCUUGCUCCUCUGACGUUAGCGGCGGACGGGUGAGUAACACGUGGAUAACCUACCUAUAAGACUGGGAUAACUUCGGGAAACCGGAGCUAAUACCGGAUAAUAUAUUGAACCGCAUGGUUCAAUAGUGAAAGACGGUUUUGCUGUCACUUAUAGAUGGAUCCGCGCCGCAUUAGCUAGUUGGUAAGGUAACGGCUUACCAAGGCAACGAUGCGUAGCCGACCUGAGAGGGUGAUCGGCCACACUGGAACUGAGACACGGUCCAGACUCCUACAGGAGGCAGCAGUAGGGAAUCUUCCGCAAUGGGCGAAAGCCUGACGGAGCAACGCCGCGUGAGUGAUGAAGGUCUUCGGAUCGUAAAACUCUGUUAUUAGGGAAGAACAAAUGUGUAAGUAACUAUGCACGUCUUGACGGUACCUAAUCAGAAAGCCACGGCUAACUACGUG